rnacentral:rRNA from 1 species
CUGCGGAGGGAUCAUUGCUGGAACGCGCUUCGGCGCACCCAGAAACCCUUUGUGAACUUAUACCUAUACUGUUGCCUCGGCGCUGGCCGGCCUCCUCACCGAGGCCCCCUGGAGACAGGGAGCAGCCCGCCGGCGGCCAAACAAACUCUUGUUUCUUAGUGAAUCUCUGAGUAAAAAACAUAAUGAAUCAAAACUUUCAACAACGGAUCUCUUGGUUCUGGCAUCGAUGAAGAACGCAGCGAAAUGCGAUAAGUAAUGUGAAUUGCAGAAUUCAGUGAAUCAUCGAAUCUUUGAACGCACAUUGCGCCCUCUGGUAUUCCGGAGGGCAUGCCUGUUCGAGCGUCAUUUCAACCCUCAAGCCUGGCUUGGUGUUGGGGCACCGCCUUUGUCAAAAGGGCGGGCCCUGAAAUCUAGUGGCGAGCUCGCCAGGACCCCGAGCGUAGUAGUUAUAUCUCGUUCUGGAAGGCCCUGGCGGUGCCCUGCCGUUAAACCCCCAACUUCUGAAAUUUUGACCUCGGAUCAGGUAGGAAUACCCGCUGAACUUAAGCAUAU